rfam:Streptomyces sp. RSD-27 Contig1832, whole genome shotgun sequence.
CUUGAUCGAGCCGAGCAGCAGCGGCUGCUCGUCCGUGUGCUCCUGGCCGUAGGUGGCCAGCAGGGCCUGCGCCUC